UUAUAUUGAGUUGUAUCAACUCACGCGUAAAAUACCGGGAAAAGUGUGCAAUGGGAGAGCACAAUAAUUCCGUCCGUCGCCGUUAAAGCCCUGUUCCAAAAAUAACAACUCCUUCUACCCCAAACCCAAUCUUUCCACCCAAAUUCUACCACCCUCAUCAUCACAAACAGCUAGGGAUUAGUUGAAGAUAUUGUGGACAAUUGCUUCUUCGGAAUUGGUGAAGAGAGCAGUGAUGGAGAGAAAGAGGAAAGUUUAUUUAGGAGAAUCGGCAUCUUCAUUUCAUCUCAAGACUCAGCGCGUGGCUGAUUCAGGUUCGCCGCCGAGUUCAGGAAGUUUAUCUUGCCAGACUGUCGCUGGGGAUGACGAUGCCUUCACGUCUUGUUGCUCAAGUAACGGAUCCCGUGACCUGAGCUGGAAAUUCCUAGAUCUGGAGGACAAUGAAGCGAUCCUCACGACGUCGACUGGCGAUUCAUUGGAUUGCGAGAGUGAAACAGCAGCGUUGAAGGGUCGAGGUGAGUCAGACAAGCUGGAUCCUCGCCGUCGUUGAAUGCCGUCGACGAAUUCUUUGAGAAGAAAAUCCACCUAAAAUUCAUUCACAAGUACAACUAUGACAUAGUGAAGGAGAAGGCACUGGAAGGGCGGUACGAAUGGGUGAGGCCGGAUUGGAAUAACAAACGAAAUAGGAGUAUUCUCUAACUGUUCCACUCAUUCACGAUUAACGAAAGCUACUUAAUUUCAUGCUCCGAUCAUACAGCUACCGUGGUGAACAAGUAAGAAAUAGAGUUUUGUUUGGCUAUCAUCAUGUUUACUCAUUUAAUUUUCCAAUUUCACCAACCAAUUUGUAUGGAAUCUCUCCUCUCUCCAUAUUUGUGCUUCCAUUCAGAGAGAGAGAUGGAUUAACGUUGUGGUGUUAGGUGAAAUUAACUAGUGUGGUACAACUCGAUAGAGAGCUUGCCGUGUAAGCUAAGCUACGGACACGUGCUCAAACCAUGUGAUGUAGUGCAUAAACUAGACGGUGAAAUGUCAUACGGUGUAUUUUACCAAUAAAUACUUUCUCCAACUAAGUUAGACAUUACUAUUUCCUGUGGAAUAUCCUAACAUUUCAAUUAAAGUGAGUUUUUUUAAUAAAAAAUAAAAUA